UUUGUUGUUCAAGCCACUAAUUAUAUUCACAAAUUCAAGAAUCAUUUCAAGUUUUACAGCUUUUUUUCUAAUCCGAUCCAAAAACUAAAGUUGCAAUACUACCUACAACAUAGAAAUUUAACGUAUUAGUAGUAAUAUUUCCUGCAGCCAGUAACCUAAAUUUGCUGAAUUAUGCCUUUUCUUUAAUUGCUAAAGACCAAUGUCCUCCUGCCAGCAAGAUUUCCAAGUCGAAGGUACGGUUCUAGCAGAACCAAUAACAAACUAAGAAAUUGGAAUUAGGCAUUGAAUAACUGACCCUGGAGAUCCACUUGGCCAUUCAACUAUCCUGCAAAAUUCCUGAAUAAAAGAAACUAAAGAAUGAAGGUAAAUCGAGUCAAAACCCAUUGCUGAGAUUUUGCUUACUGAUAGGAGCCUUGCACCUUUCGAAUUCGCGAAGAAAAGUAGGGUCCUUAAACCCAAUAAGAAAUUUGGCCAAAGCUUCAAGAAAGAGAGCCCCCUGAUAUGUGCUUAACGCACCAACAAUCUCUGAUAUUAUACUCCUUCUCAACCGAUUAGCAUCCUUAAAAACACUUGCCAACUCCUCCAUUUCCACCUUCAUUGCCCCGUCAACCUCUAUCUUUUCUUUAUUUCCCUGAUAAAUCACCCAAUCCUCUGCAACUCUCCUCACAAACCCUGCCUGUGCCCUUUUGAUUCUGUCCACAAGAUCGGGCACCAUCAACCUCAGUCCACGCUCAAUCUGCCCAAUCUUGAUUAUCAAACUCUUUGAAGGGUCCUUCCAUGCCAUCAUAGCCUGCCAGGGCCUUACCCCAUUUUCGAAAUCAUCAUCAUAGUUGUUUUCUUUAUCGAGGAAUGAGCGGAGGAGGUUGGUGAAGAUAUACGGGUGGAGAUCACCAAGAAAAAGGAAGGGCUUUUCGAGGGAGUUUCUCCAGGAAGGGUAAAGAAGGUAAGGAAGAUUGUUGGAAUCCGUGGUAACAGCGAGGUCGAGGGAGUCAUAAUAGGAGAGAAAGUGGUGGAGAAGGAGGUUGAUAUGGGAGGAGAGGAGAGCCGGAGAUGUGGGAGAGGAUAGGGAUUGGUGGAGGAGUGGGAGGAGGGUUUUCUUGAGAGUGGUGAACCAGUUAAUGUAGUAAUCUUUGAAAGCGAUGGUUGAGGGUUUCUUGCUGCGAGAGAAGAGGGAGAAAGGCCUAAGCAUCUUGAAGAAUAUGGAAUCUUGAUGGGAGGCAAGAGGAGAGAGCAAGGAAUGGUUUAGGGAGGGAAAAGGAAAGCCCUGUGCGAUUUGUUUUGAGAAUUAAUUGUUCUUUCCAUGCUGUAAGUGGAAAUAAAUAAAAAUUUGAGAUUUCUGUUCAUUGAAAAUCAAAUGAAA
rnacentral:misc_RNA from 1 species